rnacentral:lncRNA from 1 species
AUGGAGCCAGGAGGUGAAAUUGGUUUCAGAUUCCCUACUGGUGACUCAGUCUGGGGAAGAAGAGGGAAGACAGGUUCAAAGUCUGCACUUGGAUGUCUGCAUUUAAGUUCACUGGAAGGAAGAAAAUGUAAGAGAUCUAUGAGUACUCAGAAUACAAUGAUGUUUCCCAAAGAGUUGUUGGAGAAUACUACCUCUUGGAGUAGGUGGUUCGUGAUCUCCAUGAUGGCGCAGUCCUAUUGUCUCUCCUUUGCACUGGUGGCACAUCGCUCUCUCCACUAUGCCAAUAGCUCCUUGGUGAUUCCAGGUAAGAAAAGAAAGUCAGAGAGGAAGCCUGUGUCCUUUGGAGCCCCUAUAAGAUAACUGCAAAGCCUUGCAAAUCUGCUUUUCUGUCUUUUCCAGUCUAGCACAUGCAGUACUAUGAAGCAGGUGCACAAAAUAAUUUAACUAAGGACCAGCACGUCUCUGAAAAGCAAAAUCACACAGAGCUAGGGUAAAAGAGGAUAAAACUUUAGCUAACUUAGUACUUUCUUUAUAGCAUGCAGGAUUCAAGAGGAGGUAUCUAAUGUGGCUGUUCUCUCUCUUCUCAAGCCCUCUCUUUCCCUUUAAUUUCCUCUCAUUUCCAUGUAGCCCACCCUUUCAAGUCCUUUGAUCAAUUCUCUCUCCUUAUUCUGAGGAAAUACCAACAUUACCUCUGGAAGAAAAAGUUUUUCAUUCAUUCUUUACUUCAGUUCUUCUCUGAAUCUUGAAAACAUCCUUCUCUCAGGUAUGCAGAUGCUAAUGAAGAUUCUCCUCUUCAGUGAUAACCUGUUUGUUUAGCUGAAAAUGAAAUUGGUUCUUCAACUACAGGGAGAACUCUAGCCGGUUUCCUUGCUGGUAAGCUCACCCACCAUUAUGGGUUGAAUUAUUUGGAGAGUUUGGAGAAUUAUUUGGGCCAUAUUUGGAGAUAGGUUAUUCUCAGAGGUAUUAAGUUAAGAGAAUGCCAUUAGGGUAGGCCCUAAUCUAAUACAAUUGGUGUCUUUGUAAAAAGAUAUCAUAAAAAGAGAAAUUCAAACUCAGAGAUAGGCACAAAGAGACAAGGUCAUGUGAAGGUUAUGUAGAGGUCAGAUUGCCGCAGCAGAAGCCAAAGUAUCCCAGUGAUUGCCAGCAAACCACCAGAAGCUACGAGAGAAGCACAGAGUAGUUUCCCUCAUUGUCCUUAGAAGGAACAGCCCUGGAGAACCUUCAUGUCAGACCCCAGAACUUUUAGACAAUAAAUUUCUGUUGUUUAAGACACCCAGUUUGUGGUUCUUUGUUGUGGCAGCCCUAGCAAACUCCACUUGCCUUUCUGAAAGGCAGAGUAGCCUGAUCUCUGUUUGACCUGUUAGCCUGGUCCUGCCCACGAGUCUUCACAUCCUCUUUGGGCCUGGCUUACAAUAGCAGGGGCUUCUUUGGGCCCCAGAGAGCCCCUUUGCUUUCUGAGAGGGCUGGAGCUGGCUCUGAAUUAUUUAUUCUAAUAUCCCUGUCAACCCAUCAGACCCAGAUGCAAAAUGUGUUCUUUCUCCCUCCUGCUGUUGCUCUUCCUGGGCUCUACCAGAGGAGCAGAGGUUGCUCCCUUGGGCUUCUCCCUCUCAGCUGGGAUAUUUUUUUAAACUCUGGGAAAAUCUUCCUUUCAUGUUUCUGGCCAAGAUAUUUUGUCUGCACCUGAGAUUAUUCUCCCACGCUGCGGUUGAGUUUCAGGGCGGAACACAGCCAGGGAGACUUUUCUUUGUUCCUGCUUUCCUCCCUGACACAAUACUCCCCAGCACUGAGCACAGAGCAGGCUGGAAUUUAAACACAGGAGGAGUAAAAAGAUAGAGCAGAAGAAGGAAAACAUGUGUUAAAACUUAAAAACUUAUCCCACCUUUCAAAAAAUUAGCAAAACAAACAAACAACUUGUAACAAAUACUACGAUUAGAAGUGCAGCAUGAGCCUGGCAUGGUGGGGGGCGUCUAUCAUCCCAGCUACUUUGGAGGCUGAAGCAGGAGGAUUCCCUGAGCCCAGGAGUUCAGCCGGGGCAGCAUUGUGAGACCUCCAUCUGUUAAAAAUAUAUAAAACAAACUAUUAUUAUAAAAAAGAAAGAAAAAAGAAGCAGCAUAGCCACGAGAGCAUAGGAUAGGGAAGUGACCCUGCCCAGCUAGGAGUUAGGAAGGCCUGUCUCAGGAACCAUCUUCAGCCAGGAUGGUUGGUUCCAUUCCACAGGCUCUUCAGAGGCAAAAAGCAAGAAAUGGCAUCCACUGCUGGAGGCCAGAGGCAAUGCCCAGCAGCAGCCACUGCUGCCAGUUCGUCAACUUGACCUAUGUGUGGGCGGGACACACAUUCCCUCAAACCACUGCAGUAGGACAUUCUGUAUGUGUGCUCACAAGUUCCUUCAUGGUAAGUGUGAAUAUGAAAACUGGAGUUUUGAGGUAACAACUGUGGGGAAAGGAAACGUUUCUCUUCCAUGCAUUCUCCUUUCCUUUCUCUUCCCUCCCAAAGUGGGUCCUUUCACUCACUCUUCCUCCACUCUCCUUGCCCUUCUUCUUCUCAGUUUCUUGCCACUCAUUUAUCGCACUUGGAUCUCAGCUAUAUGCCUUAGUCUUUUCCUCUCCUCAUCCAUCCCCCGCAGAGCUUAGUGAUGAAGGAAUCUGGGAUGAAAAUGGACUUACCUCCCACAUACACCCACAGUGUGCCAAAGUGAUUUAUUGAGGCUCUAAAGGAAGAAAUGUUUGAAAUAUUAGCGCCAAAUGCAACUGUCAAAGGUGUAUAUAAUCAGCUACACAAACAGUGAUGCAUAAGAAGAGAUGUAUCUGCCCUUGGAUUAUACGAACAAACCUCAAUAUUUUAAAAGCUGUUAAACAAAGACUAUGUGUAUUAGCUCUGAGAGAGACCUACUAUCACCAUGACCAGGAACCUGCUCCCUCCUGGCCAAAUUGUUUUGUCUACACUAGACUAUGCUUAUCCCAUAAAACAGUGGCUGCCCAAUCAGUCUGUCAAGAAUUCCCAGUCCCCAGCCAAGAAACAAUCUGAAUGUGUGUAUUUAAGGUCCUCUUGUAAUUCUGACUGUUGGUCAGGUUUGCAACCCACUGCUUAAAAGCCAGCAUGGGAAACACUAAAUCACACCUCUUUUUCUGUCAUAAAAACAAAAAUCCAUGACUUCUAGCCUUUUUUUAGCCACUCCAUACCCAUGACCACCAUUUAAGUUACAAAAGGCCCUUCAGGAAUCUAACAGACAGUAGCCUGCUCCUGUGACUACAGGCCGCAAAGCCCCAGUGUGAUAGGCUGACUAUGAUGCCGCUCUCUGGCACAGCACCAUCUGUGUCUAUGGCAUAAGUAGCCUAGGCGGGAAGCCCAGUGCCCAAGAUGGAGGCAUUUCCCAAAGGUUGAUUGUUAAUCACCAAAAUGAAGAGAUCUGGUGGAUAAGAGAGAGUGGAAGCCACACAGGGUCUGUUUAUUUGGGAAAUAGCCCCUACUAGCACUGGAACUUAUUUCCCUGGAUCCCUGUGUGUCUAAUUUCCCAAGUGGAAUCUCUAACCAUUUGCCAAAGUGCCUCCAGUCAUGAGCCUGGGCCAAUGCGGGCCUGCCACAUGGCUUAUUUUCAACCAGAAUUGAAGCUAGACAUUUGCCCUAGGCCACCUCAAGCAUGGCUGAAAGUUGAGGUAGCAACUGUGGAGAAAAGAAACACACACUUUCCUUAUUCCAUGCCUGAGUCAGAGGCACAGGAGCGCCCCAGGGCAAAAUGGAUAUAUUAGCAGUUAUCUGCUGUAUGAGGGUAUAAUUAUCCUGUCCUCCAACACUACUGUGUUGUGAAUAACUCACCAGUAGCUGAACCCUAAGGAUAUCUGGAGAGCCAGGGUACAGCUUAAUAGGUGUUCCAUUGAUAUUCGGAGCAAUCAAAACAAUGCAGUCAUGGCUUCUGAGUAUUAACAGAGCAACCUCCAUAUUGAGUAUGGCCUUGAACUGGAAACCGUGAUGCACUCAGAAACAUUGUGAAAGACAGAAUGUUCUUGACCAUUCCAAUGAACUGCUAGAAAUAGUGUUGCAUUCAUCCCAGGGAGACUGCGUUCUCUAACUAGCAAUGCCUGAAAAGCAAAAUUACUUCCUUCAGCAGAGAGUUUACUUCAGGGAGGGAGUUGUGGUGAUCAUAGGAGCAUUUUAAUUCAUGUGUUCUGUGACUUUUAUAAAACAACCCAAAUUCUACCUACAGACCACUCGAAGAAUCUGCAUGCAAAAACUGAAGCCAACACAUGCUAUAUCUACCUACCACUGGGAUCUCUCUACCUCUUCUCCAGCAUCAAUUCCUACAGUCUUUCUCCACUCCAAAGAAUAUGGCGAAUGAAAGUUUUUAAGUACAGUCUCUGUGGCAAUAAAAAGAAACUGUCCUCUGAGAAAGAAAUUUCCUUCGUGAAUUAUCAUGAGUCUUUUAUGCUUAAAAUUUACCAAUUUUACCCUGUAAUAGCAAGCUCAGUUCAAUGGCCCAAUAAAAAAUGACAGCUGUCAAUACUCUCCAGUAUUUCCAAUUUCCUUCCAUUCUAUACUUGGCUGACAAAAUUAAGCACUCCUAUACCAACACGCUUAGGAAAAAAACGUGUUAGAAAACUAACACAGGAACACAAAACCAAACACUGCAUGCUCUCACUCAUAAGUGGGAGCUGAACAAUGAGAACACAGGGCCACAGAGAGUGGAACAUCACACACUGGGCCUGUUCAGGGGCUAGGGGGCAAGGGCAUUAGGACAAAUACCUAAUGCAUGUGGAGCUUAAAACCUAGAUGAG